rnacentral:tRNA from 1 species
AGGGAUGUAGCUCAAUGGUAGAGCACUUGUCUGGCAUGCAGAGAGCCUUUGGCUCCAUCCCCA